rnacentral:rRNA from 1 species
UACGUAGGGGGCAAGCGUUGUCCGGAUUUAUUGGGCGUAAAGAGCUCGUAGGCGGUUCGGUAAGUCGGAUGUGAAAUCUCCACGCUCAACGUGGAGGGGCCAUUCGAUACUGCCGUGACUUGAGUACGGUAGGGGAGCGUGGAAUUCCCGGUGUAGCGGUGAAAUGCGCAGAUAUCGGGAGGAACACCAGUGGCGAAGGCGGCGCUCUGGGCCGGAACUGACGCUGAGGAGCGAAAGCGUGGGUAGCAAACAGG